CUGGUAUAUUGGCAUCUGGGAUGUGAGGGUUACAGACUUGGCUCGACAUUUAUCUGGUUUGGCAGCUUAUUCAUCAAAGCCACGGAGAAGCGAGGACUUGGAUGAUCCCGAAGCUCCGCCGCAUCAACCAGCCCAUUACGGCCCUGCUGCAAUUGAAGUAUGGUCAUGGCUCUAGCUGGGAAUAAAGCAGAUCUAGUAGAGUGAAGGAAAGUGGCAGCAGAGCUCUUGAUUGUUUGUGUCAAAUUUUUUUGAUCUUGAUUCAUCAAUGAUCAAGCAAUCUAAUAUGAAAAUAAUGCUAUUGAUAUGCUUAGUUUCAUUCGUUGCAUAGUAAUGUUUGUGUUUCUAUUGAUGUUGGACUAUAGUACGGUCUCAUUCUUAUGUUGAUUAAACUGAAAGGACAUAUACAAAAAGCUGGAUAAACUUCCAGGCUGAAGAUGGUAAAAGACUUUGGAGGCACAAGCAAAUACACUAAAGUAAUUGGUACUUGAAGUAGAACGAGGAAGAUCCUUGUAAAAGUUUGAACCCUAUGUAGUAGAGAAAGAUAACUACCUUGUAAAACUCAAUUAUCUUGUAAACUUUCGUAGAAGCUUCAUUCCUUUUAUAACAUUUAUGAG
rnacentral:lncRNA from 1 species